rnacentral:sRNA from 1 species
AAGUUACAUAAACGACACACACAUUCCGACACGAAGGUCUGGGUGCUUGCAUUGCGAAGUUACUGCUCUGUGGGUUGAUCUUUGGGGGAUGUGGAGGCUUAAC